rnacentral:rRNA from 1 species
GAGCAAAGGAAGUUCUCUAAAAUUAUUAGGUAGAAUUUUAAUUUUAGGUAAUAACAUAGAACUUUAAACAUUAUAAUUGUAGGUAGGAACCAGGAUUAGAUACCCUGUUACUUAUAUAUAAAAAAUUUUGGAAUAGUAUUAGUAAAGAAAUUUAACGGAUUUGGCGGCAAGAUAGCCAUUUAGAGGAACCUGCCCUAUAAACGAUGAACCACGAAUCACUCUGCUUUUUCUUGAAAUUCAGUUUGUAUACCGCUGUUGUCAGUUAGUUUCUUCAGAAAACUCUCAUUAAUGAUAUAUUCAAUGACUUCAAGUAAAGGUGCAGCUUAUGAAAAAGAUAGAGGUGGGUUACAUUUAUGAGAAUAAAACGGAUAAAGUUAUUGAAACAAACUUUUGAAGGUGGAUUUAAUUGUAAAGUUUAUAAAGAUUUGAUUUGAGCUCUGUCUUGUGUACACACCGCCCGUCGCUCUCUUUUUUAAACGAGAUAAGUC